CACUCCUGCGGGAGGCAGCAGUGGGGAAUAUUGCACAAUGGGCGCAAGCCUGAUGCAGCCAUGCCGCGUGUAUGAAGAAGGCCUUCGGGUUGUAAAGUACUUUCAGCGGGGAGGAAGGCAAUACGGUUAAUAACCGUGUUGAUUGACGUUACCCGCAGAAGAAGCACCGGCUAACUCCGUGCCAGCAGCCGCGGUAAUACGGAGGGUGCAAGCGUUAAUCGGAAUUACUGGGCGUAAAGCGCACGCAGGCGGUCUGUCAAGUCGGAUGUGAAAUCCCCGGGCUCAACCUGGGAACUGCAUUCGAAACUGGCAGGCUUGAGUCUUGUAGAGGGGGGUAGAAUUCCAGGUGUAGCGGUGAAAUGCGUAGAGAUCUGGAGGAAUACCGGUGGCGAAGGCGGCCCCCUGGACAAAGACUGACGCUCAGGUGCGAAAGCGUGGGGAGCAAACAGGAUUAGAUACCCUUGUAGUCCCAUG
rnacentral:rRNA from 1 species